UGUGCAAAACUGUGUAAAUUUCCCUAUUGUUUUCUGUGAGACAGGUGUUUGUACUAGGUGACCUUUGUGGCCAACACAUCGUAAAUAUUUCAGCUUGGGUAUUACACAAUCUCUGAAUGGUACAAUUCUACACAGGUUGUUUGAAAUCUGAAGAAAAUCAGUCGUAAUAUGGGUGGCUAAAAAGAUAAACAACAGCAUAGAGUAUGUGCAUGUUCAUGUUGAACAGAUAUUACGAUGUUGUGAAUAAAGACUGCCAGUUAUAUUAAGAUUUAAGCAGAUGACUAGUACAUGUAGAUUUUAUUGUUUGCAUAAUUAAAUAACCCAGUUAUAAUAGUUAUUUUCACAAAUAAACAAAUAUUAAAUUCAAAAUGGCGGCAACAAAAAAUAUGGCGGCCUCCGAUGUCCGUUUUGUUGAUACUAAGAUAAAUUCAAAAUUUUAACACCAACUGGUCUUUAUAUUUUUAAUUUAAGUUUAAAAUUACACAAUUAGGUUUAUUUGCAUUUAAAAUAAAUUAAUUAUGAAUUAUUUAUUUAUUUUUUUUUCGAUCACGUGACGUUUUUGAGUUCUAUGAUUGGUCAAUAACAGAGCGCGGAUUUUUCCAUGGACGAUUUGAAUGUUUGGAUGUUGAAAGUGUUGAUAGAAAAAAAGGAGAUAAAACCAGUUGGUAAGGCGAUAUUUAUGCUAACAUUUUAUUGAUUUUGGUAAAGUAUACUUAGUACCUCUGGAAUAACAUUCCAAAAAGAAGAAAUAUUGGGAAUGAACAAAAUUCUAGGCGUGUGAAUCUUAGAUUUCUUGUUUGUUUUGAUUGGUAUGUCGAAUGACAAAGACUGAAGUAAACAAAUUGAAAGUAUUUGAAACGCAUAAUAUUUUUCAGCAUUUAGUAUAUUAAUCAAAUAUGUUGUUCUUUGUCAUAUUUAUUCCCACAAUUGUUUAUAGAUUCCCUGAACUGUUAAAAUAUUGUGAAGCCUUAUACGCAUCAGCAUGAUCAUAACAUGAUCUAGCUGCAACGUUAAUUAAUGCAAUGAAAUGAGUAAUUUAACAUUAAUUUUCUUUUUUUUUUUAUAAAGCAGAAUAUUGGUACAUGAUGUUUCCAUGAGCUAAAUCUGUCCUGACCUGGAGUACAUGAAAUUCUUCAAAAUAUUACUUGUUUAAGAAUUGAAGAAAAGGUUAAAAUUGCAAGCAUAUUUCAACGAAAACUUAGCCGACUACCAGUCACACUGCCCGCCAGCCAAGACGUCUGACCAGCUAAAAUGAGGGACGCAGACCACCAGCCAAGUCCCUCGGCCAGCUCGGCUGACUACCAGUGCAGCCUGUCAAGUCCCUCAACUAACUUGGCCUAUUACCAGUGCGGCCUGUCAUUGAACAACCAAGUCCAUCAACUAGAUUGGCUUACUACCAGAGCGGCUUUUCAAGGGAUGGUCAAGUCCGUCAACUAACUUAACCUACUACCAGUGCCGCAUGUCAAGAGAUGGCCAAGUUCGUCAACUAGCUCGGCUUACUACCAGUACGGCCUGUCAAUAUAGGGACGGUUAAGACCGUUGACUAACUUGGCCUUCUACCAGUGCGGCUUGUCAAGGGACGGUUAAGUCCGUCAACUAACUUGACCAAGUACAGAUGCGAACUGUCAAGGGAUGGCCAAGUCCGUCAACUAUCUUGACCAACUACCAGUGCGGCCUGUCAAACGAUGGCCAAGUCCUUCAACUAACUUGGCCUACUACCAGUGUGGCCUGUCAAAUGAUGGCUAAGUCUGUCAGCUAACUUGGUCUACUACCAGUGCGGCCUGUCAAACGAUGGCCAAGUCCUUCAACUAACUUGGUCUACUACCAGUGCGGCCUGUCAAACAAUGGCUAAGUCUGUCAGCUAACUUGGUCUACUACCAGUGCGGCCUGUCAAACAAUGGCUAAGUCUGUCAGCUAACUCAGCCAACUUUCAGUGCCUAUCUUCAAAUAAUAAAGAUAAACAACUGUACACCUGCAAGGAUACCUGUGCAAGGAGGGUGGUAUGCAGCUAGAAACUGUAACUGAAAUCACUGUUUAGAACCUUUCUUUUUUUUGAAAUACAGCUAGAUCAAAAAUAAAUAGGGUGUUAAUAUUUAAAAAUUAGUGAUGUCUGUUUAUACAAUUAGCAAGAGUAGAAUGCAGUUUGCUAGGUAAUUUUACAAAGACCCUAAUUGCUAUAAGCUAAAAAUGUAUUCUUUAAAACAACCAGAGAAAUUUCAAUCUGUUGUAGAUGACAUGAUGAAAAAUAAGGUACACUUGAAUUUUGAAAACAAUUGCAUGUGCAUUCAUUUAGUUGUAUUUGACAAUAAACCAAGCUAUCUUUAUCGUGUU